UACAUCUUUGAAAAUUUCAAAGUUUCUGGAGGGACAAUACCAAGGACGACGGCAGCACACCACCGUGAAUCUCCACCAAUGUCAUUCACCACCACCACCAGAUCUUCUUCAAGAUCCUCCACCUCCCCCUUCCGCUCCCGAAAGUCAUCGGACCCACCACCUGACACCACUCGCCGGACCACCAAACCCCAGGCAACUAAACCCUCUCAACCUCCUCCACUUUCUUCUUCUUCUUCUUCUUCACACAAAGUUAAAGAAAAUGUCACUGUCACCGCCAGGCUUCGUCCCCUCAAUUCAAGGGAGAUUGGGAAAGGGGAUGAGGUGACAUGGUUUGCUAAUGGAGAUUAUUCCAUUCAGAAUGAGUUUAAUCCCGCCUUUGCUUAUGGAUUCGCUAAUUGUGGUGGCUUUUGUUAGAAAGUUGAGAGCUUUUUGGUUUCUUGAUUUUUGAUGGUGUAUAACUGCGGAUAGAGUGUUUGGGCCUGCAACGACUACCAGGCAAGUUUAUGACGUUGCGGCUCAUCAUGUUGUGAAUGGCGUUAUGGAGGGGGUAAAUGCUAAGUGUUCUUUUUCUUUUUUGGAAAUGUUUUAGAUGAAACAUAUAUUAUAUGUUAGCACUUUUAUUGGAACAAACGUAUCCAACACUUCAUUAUCUUGGUGUUAAAAUGUCCGCAUCAGCAAAGCAUAAUCUGCAGCAAUGCAAUGCGAUUCUUUGAUGCGCUUUGGAUCAAUGGGCAAAGUAUUGGAAGAUAUUGGGUCUCCUUUAAGACCCCUGCAGGAUUACCUUCACAAACAUGGUACAAUGUACCUAGAUCUUUCCUUAAACUGACUGCAAAUCUACUAGUUUUGUUCGAGGAAGAAUAUGCAAACCCGUUAAACAUUUCACUAGAUACUGUUUCCAUCGACAAAGUUUGUGGGCGUGUAUCGGAUUCACAUCCUCCUAGGGUAAAUUCAAGGGAAGUAUCCGGUCACUAUCAAUGGAGACCGACGCCUAGAGUUCGCUUGCGGUGUCCUAAAAAACAAAUUAUCUCGAAGAUUGUAUUUGCAAGUCAUGGUAACCCUUCAGGCGACUGCGAAAACUACUCCAUUGGAAAAUGUCAUUCGUCUAAUUCUCAACAAGUCGUUGAAAAGGCUUAUUUGGGAAGAAGGUAAUGUUCGGUUUCUCAUACGCCAGAAUCUUUUGGUGAAGACCCGUGUCCAGGCACACCUAAAACACUUUUAGUGGAUGUGCGAUGUGAAUAAGAAGUAGUUUACUUCGUUUGCACACAAAAUAGGAAGUAAUAAACGCACAACAAGCGAUAUAAGUUACAUGCCAAUUAACAUACUCAAAUUCAUUUAUUGUAUAUGUUCAUUUUGAAUGUACAUAGAUCAUAAACUCGUAUACAACUAAAGCAAUGAGAAUGCCAACUACAUGGUUUGGUUUUACUAAACAAAA